AACGGGGGGAACAAGUGUUAUUCAUAAUUAUUGGGCGUAAAGGGCAUGUAGGCGGUUAAUUAAGUUCAACUUUAAAUCCUAAAGCUUAACUUUAGACUCUGUUUGAAAACUGAUUAACUUGAGUCUCUUAAAGGAUAGUGGAAUUUCUAGUGGAGAGUUAAAAUUCUUAGAUCCUAGAAGGAACAUCAACGGCCAAGGCAACUAUCUAGGGGAUGACUGACGCUGAUAUGCGAAAGCAUGGGGAUCAAACAGG
rnacentral:rRNA from 1 species